GGGCCGGUAGCUCAGUGGAAGAGCGCUCGCUUGGCAUGCGAGAGGCCGCGGGUUCGAGUCCCGCCCGGUCCA
rnacentral:tRNA from 1 species